AUCUCGACCGACAUCUGGGGAAUGAAGGCCUUGAACGCCGGCUGCCAGCC
rnacentral:sRNA from 1 species